CGCAGGUAGAAUGUGUCCGACUUGACGUCGCUGUUGUCAUAUCCGCUCCUGCAGCUCACAUCAAGUCGGCGAAAGUCCGCUGCAGUUAUCUCAGAUGCACCUAUUGUAAUUGGUAGCCUAAUAUGCAAAACCCAAUUGACUAUAGCAGAAGACAGUUAGACUGGAAAAUUUAACUCCCAUAUUCACUUUCCUUUUAGCUGUUUUGUUCUCAAUCUAGAUGUUCUACUGUUUUCAAUAUAGUCGUUAUCUUUUUUUGCAGGGAGUUGAUGGUCAGUGAGUUUGUCAGACAUUUUUUGAUACAAUGAGUUUUUGCUGCAGGAGACAAGGUUAGAGUCAAGUUAGGCCAAACUGAAAAAGCAUUGUAAACAUAAAACAUUUAUUAAUACAGCUUUAGCAUAAAAUAAUGUUGUUUGUAGAAAUGUAAGAGAGGACUUUUCAUUUCAUUUAAUACACAUGUUUUAUAACAACUCUUCUGUGAAGUGUGUACUGUAGUUGUUUUUAUCUAGCCUACUAUUUGAUAGUGUUCAUUAUUGGUGUGAUGUGUAUGUCCUAGGCCACUAGAGGGCAGCAAGUACACCUAUAAUUUUAUGCGGCUGUAUGAAAUACAGUCUGAUUUAUACACAGUCAGUGGAUUACCUGCAGUAGAUGGCGGUCAGUGUGUCCCCAGUAUGGAGAAACUGCUUUUAACAGGGUCAGCAAGUCCAUGCUAAAUGAGCCUAUCACAGCCAGGUAAAUCUCUCUGUAUUCAUACCCUAGCUUUCAAAUCUGGUGUCUGUGGCGACAUUACCUGUCGCAGCAGAAUGAUGCGUUUUAUGUCAACCAGCAAUUAUUGGUUUGGUGGUUUGCCAGAGCUGGGUGGGGGAGUUAUGUAGGAAAAACCUAAGAAGCCUCCCAAGAAAAUGCUUCUGAUGCUUCAGAUAAGAAACUCUCAGAAGAUGAAUUACAGUCAAAAAAGAAAGCAGUUAACGGUGAGGACAAACACAAAUAACUAGAGAGAAGAGAAGGGACUGAGGGAGGACCUGAAUGUCGCAUCUUGGACAGCUCUGCUGCUAACUGACACAGCCAUCAAAUACCACAGCCUCGUUAGAGCAUCUGUGAAACAACUUCCAACACAGAGGCAGCUGAACAUAUGCCACUUUCAACAUGAUGGAAAGGAAACAGAAUGGGAAUUACUUCUCCGAACUGACGGUUUGGGAGAGAUACAGUAUGUCUAAAAGAAUGACCUUCCUGUGGAGGGCAACUGAAGUCCAUCCAUCCAUCCAUCCAUCGUCAACCGCUUAUCCUGUGUACAGGUACACCCUGGACAGGUCGCCAGUCCAUCGCAGGGGGCAACUGAAGUAAAUAUGAAUCUACCAGCAGCCAGUAAGUUGGAAACAGAUGAACUGGAUUCAUGUUGCUGUGGAUUGUAUUUCCUAUGCUUCUGCCUUAGAGGUUAUUUGUCUGUAAGUUAUGUGUAAAUCAUUAUCAAACACUUGCACUUUUAAUGCAUGUUACGUUAGAAACUGUUCUAUUGUUCUGCUCAAACGUGCUCUGCUAGCUAGCAGUUACAGCAAUAACAAUAAUAAUCAUUUCCUUUGUGACUUUUAGCUGUUAUGGCAGUUGAGCUGUGCUUUUCAUACAGUAGGCUACAGUGCAUGCUUUAUGCUUUGGUAGGAAAUGUGUAUUUGCGUAGUUAUGUAUACAUACCUUCUAUAUCAAUAUGUUAAUGUUUAGGUACUGAUUUAUGUUCUUAUGUCUGUAAUGUUUCAGUUUUACAAAAAAAACAACAAAAAAUAAAAGAGGAAA